GCCGGAGGAGCCGGCGGGGGUGGCGGGGCUGCUGGGCCGGGGUCGGGGCACCGUCAUCGCCCUUGGUCAGCGCCGCGCGCCAUAACCCGGUGCUGCGGGCCCGCCGCUCCGCACCGCCGGCACUGCCCGGGCCACGGUGCAGCGCUGGGGGCGGCGGCGGGGCCGCUCCUGCCGCUGACAGCAGCUCGAAUAAACGGAGCGGUCCUGACCAAACCCGAGCGUGCGGCAGGGGGAGCCUGCAGAGCCCCCGGGGGGCCGGGCGGGGGGGGUGCUGUGGAUGGUCUGUGGGCUCCGAGCCCGGUUUUUCUCCCCAGAGAUGGUCCCUGCGGAGCCCGGCUGCGCCCCGUAGGGCUGGAGCCCUUCCCUGCGGUGACCUGUGCUGGUGCCAGGGCGUGGGAACAGAGCGUGGACCUUGUUUUGCGUCACGAAACUGACCAGGGAGAGGAAGGCGAAGGCAGCUGGAAGACGGAGCUCUUUGCACCAUCCCUGGGUUUUACUGUCACAGUGUCCCACGAUGGCUGCUGCCCCACGAGCCCCGCUCGCCAGGGAGGGUGUCUUGGUGCUCCCUGGAAGGCUUGGGGUCCAGCUGUGUCCUGGAAGAACCCUGAGCCUGGCUAGUGGUGCUGCAAGCCCAAGGUGGCUGCUUUGAUGCUCUGGGGGGACACGUUUCCAGCACCAGCCCCACCAGCCCUGUCCCUACAUGUGCCAGUGCCUGGCAGGAUUUGCGUGGCUGGACCUUGCUGAACUUCACAUCCAACUGGUGCCCUCCACAGUGUCCUCCACCAUUCUCCUCUCCAGGCACAGGCACAAGAAACCAGCUUGUUGAAGACUCUAAUCUUCCCAGCAGAUGGUCUCCAUCACAAGGUGACCCCCUGGCUCCAUGAGGGCACUGAUGCUCCUCAGGACACUGCAGAAGGUGGCCAGGUCCUGGCUGGUGGCCUCCAGAGAGUGGGUGGGGAGGACACAGGUGGCAGGGACGUGGGAUCCAUGGGGUGGUUUUGGUCACGUUGCACUUCAGAACCUGUCUCACACUCUUUCUCAGCCCAUUUCCCCUAAACAAGUAAAUAAACAGAUAGACAGAG